CCUUCGGGUCUCUAGUGGCGAACGGGUGAGUAACACGUAGGGAACCUGCCCGCGCACCGGGAAUACGCUCUGGAAACGGAGAACAAAUCCCGAUGUACAGGAAGGAGGCAUCUUCUUUCUGUGAAACAUCCUUUAGGGGAUGGGGCGCGGAUGGACCUGCGGUGCAUUAGUUUGUUGGCGGGGUAAAGGCCCACCAAGACGAUGAUGCAUAGCCGGCCUGAGAGGGCGGACGGCCACAUUGGGACUGAGACACGGCCCAGACUCCUGCGGGAGGCAGCAGUAGGGAAUUUUCGUCAAUGGGCGCAAGCCUGAACGAGCGAUGCCGCGUGAGUGAAGAAGGCCUUCGGGUCGUAAAGCUCUGUUGCGGGGGAAAAAAGGCAGCAUCAGGAAAUGGGUGCUGACUGAUGGUGCCCCGCCAGAAAGUCACGGCUAACUACGUGCCAGCAGCCGCGGUAAUACGUAGGUGGCGAGCGUUAUCCGGAAUGAUUGGGCGUAAAGGGUGCGCAGGCGGUCCUGCAAGUCUGGAGUGAAACGCAUGAGCUCAACUCAUGCAUGGCUUUGGAAACUGGGGGACUGGAGAGCAGGAGAGGGCGGUGGAACUCCAUGUGUAGCGGUAAAAUGCGUAGAUAUAUGGAAGAACACCAGUGGCGAAGGCGGCCGCCUGGCCUGUUGCUGACGCUGGGGCACGAAAGCGUGGGGAGCAAAUAGGAUUAGAUACCCUAGUAGUCC
rnacentral:rRNA from 1 species